UUUCAUGCAACGGAUACAAGCAAUGAAAUUUCAACAGAAAUUUCCUGGGGUAGGAUGCAGAGUUCUUAGGAAACCUUCUGUUUUCUUAUAAAAGUAAGAGCCUGAAGUAGGUGAUGAUUCUUAUCACAUUUUACUGCUUUGAAAUAGAAAACAAAGCCUGAAGAUUCAGUGGGAAAUUUUUCAACCAUGAAAUAAUAGACAAUCUGCUAAGUAAAAUGAUCACAAAAGAAAGGAGGAGACGGUAUUGUUAAACCAUUGAAGUCCUGGGCUGCUAUCUCUUGAUUUCUUGGUGUUUGAGGAAAUAAAUACCUCUCUUAAAUUCAGUUUAUGUUUACUUUUUGUGUAUGUUUUUGCCUUCAAACACAUUUUUAAAGUAUUCAAGAGUGUAUGAGGGCUAAAGCUCUAUGAAUCAUCCUGAAAUCUUAAGGUUUGCAUUCACGAAUAUUAUUUGAGGAUGUG
rnacentral:lncRNA from 1 species